rnacentral:tmRNA from 1 species
GGGGGUGAAACGGAUUCGACGGGGAUAUGAAAGCUCAACGUUGCAUGCCGAGUCUUCUGUCAGCUCGUAAAAUAGACGGAAUCUUAAAUAUAAUCGCAGACGAUUAUAACUACGCAAUGGCAGCAUAGUCUGCUUUGCCGCUUCCCCGGUCCGCGCCCGUAAGGCCGGUGUGAAGCGUCGACUCCUCGGGCUGGUCAAACGGAUGCGCCUGCCGCCCGUUUGACGAGACUUCAGCAGGCUGGCAUUCGGCAAUCCCCUGUUCCGGGUGAGAGCCGAAUGUGAGAUUUAAACCUGGAACUAAGCAUGUAGAUACGUGAGGGGAGUAUUUUCGGACGCGGGUUCAACUCCCGCCACCUCCACCA